UCUUAUGGACAAGCACAGAAAGUGGUCUCUUGAGAUGGAGUCUACUUCUGGUGAAGACACUAUGGA
rnacentral:pre_miRNA from 1 species